AGUAAGUUGCCAUGACAGCGCUGCCACAUUAUACAACAAGUGCUCAAAAUAAUAAAGUUAACAGCACUUUAAUAGUUAGCUCGUCCCGCCCAAAGCCGGUGGCAAGUGGCAGACGCCCACAAAGAUUGGACUUGGGAGUUGUGAUACGAAUCGGCAAACGGCAACGGCAACGGCAACAUGUUGCCCGGCAACGGGGCAUAGAUGAGGGGCUUAUCCUAUCGAGCAGCAAAACUUGAGCAAUAAAAUUGCUUUUAUACUCUGGUACAUAUAGGAGUCUAUGGCAGCAUUGAAAUAUUCUUGGCAUGCUCAUUGGCAAAGCCAGCAGCAGGAGCAGCAGCAGCAGCAGCACAAGCAGUCGAGAGUCAGAUAAAUUUCUCUACUUUGAUUUUGCGCUUAAUAAAAGUCAAAUUUAAAUUCGGCUGACUACGCACGGCCACCAGCUGCCCCUUCCUCCUGCCGUUCCUGCUCCUGCUGCUGUUGCUGCAUGUGUGGAACCUGCUCCCAACAAUGGACGAAGCAGCAGCAUUUUUUAUUGCCAGCCGAUGACACGACUUCGUAGCUGGCAACACAGCUUAGGAAUGUAAUAAACUUGAAGCGGCUCCUGCCUCCACUCGGACUUUUAUGGCAUAUACAUAAAAGGAAAUUGGAGCAGAAGGGUAAGCAGCCAGCUACCCAAAUGGAAAAGUCAAAGAGUGGCCGCAGCAGUCAGCGUGGAGCGAGUGAGCGAGCGAGCGGCAGCUGGAUGGGGCAGCUAAUGAGCUCUAUGGAACAUAAGUGCGGCAUGCGGGGCGUAUGCUUAAUAUCAGCGCCAGUUGGCGCGCUGCAGCCUCAAAGCGCUUACAUAUAAAUGUGCCGGGUGAGACGCACGCCCAGAGCGCCAAGCGGAAAGUUGUGCAUAAUUCAAUUAACUAGAAACAUGCAAAUGAAAACUUUGCUGGCGACAAGGCCGCGGGCAAAAGAAGCGGGCAGCAAAAGUGCAGCCAAAGACCCAAAAAGAGUGCGACGAAAAACGCAAGGCAUUGCGGGGGUAGAGCUAAUGGUGGGGGAUGGAGCAGUGCUCUGCUGUGCUGUUGCUUUUAAUGUUGCACACAAAUUGGACAACUCUCCAAUGGAAUUGCGCAAAAAUAUUUCUAAUUAUUUCAGAGCACAGUGCCUGGCAACCAGCUCCAGCUACUCAACCGCCCCCUCAUGCCUUGCCGCCCACUCCCCCUGCUCGGUCGCAUCCUUGACUCUCCUGGUUGCUUAGUCAACUAUGCGUGUAUAUCAAAAGUAUGAAAUGCAAUAACGUAAUGAGUAAUUGCGCAAAAGUAAUAAAGGACACGGCGCACAGUUACGCAAAAAGCAGCAUACAAUCUGUUGCAGGGAUAACAAGGAUAUAGCCGGCAGCAGCAAUUAUGGAUGUGGUGGGCGGGCGGCGCAACAAAAGUUGUCAACGACAGGCAACUGGCAACUUAAAACAAAAGCCAGCCCGGGGUCAUCGUUGCCAUUUGGGGCGUGGCAUGGGCGUACGUGCAACGUGGCCACAAAAAAGUUGAAGCUUCGCUCACGCGUUGCUGCCGCGUGACUCCAAUUGCUGGCCCCGCUGCUAGUUGGCUUGGACACAGCCAGAACUGGACGGGACUCGACCGUGGAGGCGGUGGCCAACUUUUGGCUUUAGCUUUGUGGGUCUGCCUGUUCGGGGCGGGGGUUAGGUGAUGUGUGCGUCUGUAUGUGUAUGUGUGUGUGUGUGUGUGUGUGUGUGUGUGUGUGUGUGUGUGUGCGUGCCUCGUGCCAGCCAGCCAAAAAGGAUAUUAAUUUCCCAAAGGUGCCGUUUCCAGCCAGCGAAAAUCACGCAAAAUGCGCUAGGGCAAGGGGGUGUGGCAGAAGCACAGCUUCCAACAACAGCAACAACAACAACAACACGGAAUAAAAAAUAAAACUCACGCACACAGAAAUUAAAAACUUUCAAUAGCAACAAUUUUCAUUUAAAAAUUCAUCGCCAUGCGCUGGGACCGCGACAAUGUGCCCCAAAACGUGGCAAGCCUGUGAGCUGAGGAGGAAGCGUGUCGUGUUGCUGCUGUUGAUGGCCAUUGAAGCAGCAAACAAAAGUGACAAACAGAUUUAUUAAAACUGUAAAUCUGCAUUGUACGCUUAGUUUGUCUAACAACAAAUUGCAACAGAAAACAGUUUCGAACGCCAUUGAUGUGCGUCUAUAAGCGACGCAGCGCAGCCAACUUCAAGCUGAUCUCGCCACUAUUGAGAGCUCUAAAGAUAGUUCCGUUAUUUGGAGCUGAAGAGCGCGUUUCAAGCGCGUGUGACGUCACAAUUUCCAACUGUGCUUUGCUAAGCUCUCUCUUUCGCAGAUGUUUCGCAGUGUUGCCAAAUUUGAAUAUUUUUUCUGUUCCUAAAUUGUAAGUUCUUAAAUAUAAAUGCAGCAGUAUGCAAA